rnacentral:rRNA from 1 species
GGAGGAUCCAAACGUUAUCCGGAUUUAUUGGGUUUAAAGGGUGCGUAGGCGGCCUAUCAAGUCAGAGGUGAAAGACGGUAGCUUAACUAUCGCAGUGCCUUUGAAACUGGUGGGCUUGAAUGUACUUGAGGUGGGCGGAAUGUGGCAAGUAGCGGUGAAAUGCAUAGAUAUGUCACAGAACCCCGAUUGCGAAGGCAGCUCACUAAAGUAUGAUUGACGCUGAUGCACGAAAGCGUGGGGAUCAAACAGGAUUAGAUACCCUGGUAGUCCACGCCCUAAACGAUGAAUACUCGAUGUUGGCGAUACACAGUCAGCGUCCACGCGAAAGCAUUAAGUAUUCCACCUGGGGAGUACGUCCGCAAGGAUG